rnacentral:rRNA from 1 species
CCUACGGGAGGCAGCAGUAGGGAAUCUUCCACAAUGGACGAAAGUCUGAUGGAGCAACGCCGCGUGAGUGAAGAAGGGUUUCGGCUCGUAAAGCUCUGUUGGUAGUGAAGAAAGAUAGAGGUAGUAACUGGCCUUUAUUGGACGGUAAUUACUUAGAAAGUCACGGCUAACUACGUGCCAGCAGCCGCGGGAAUACGUAGGUGGCAAGCGGUGUCCGGAUUUAUUGGGCGUAAAGCGAGUGCAGGCGGUUCAAUAAGUCUGAUGGUAAAUCCUUCGGCUCAACCGGCGAAUUGCAUCAGAAACUGUUGAACUUGAGUGCAGAAGAGGUGAGUGGAACUCCAUGUGUAGCGGUGGAAUGCGUAGAUAUAUGGAAGAACACCAGUGGCGAAGGCGGCUUUCUGGUCUGCAACUGACGCUGAGGCUCGAAAGCAUGGGUAGCGAACAGGAUUAGAUACCCGAGUAGUC